GCCCACUCUGCUCUUUGGCUAGCGGUGUGGGAGAAACCGCACGCACACCCCAGUCUAGUGAUGUAGCACCUACACGGUAGCUUGAUAUGAUCCAACUGUGGCCACUGUUAUUCUGUGAGCUCCAGUGGCUCAGGGGCUGGGCUUUACUCUUCCUGGUGUCCUUGACCCUAGUAGUUCUGGCUGACACAGAUGUAGUCACUAAUGAUGACAUUCCCCAAGUUUUCCGGGGGAUGAGAGAUGGCUUGGGAAAUGUGCGCAUGCAGGAUAUGAAUAUGGGCUUUUUCAGAAUUCUUCUUUUUUCAAGAUCUAAGAUAAUAUCAUUUCAGUACGGACAGAAAAAUCUCGGUAAGAAUGGCUGUCUACGAGAAGACCUUUGGACGGGUUCCCAUGGUCCAAAAUUUGGAAAGUAG
rnacentral:lncRNA from 1 species